rnacentral:rRNA from 1 species
CGGUUUCGUUAAGUCUGAUGUGAAAGACUUCGGCUUAACCGGACGAAGUGCAUCGGAAACUAGGAGUAACUUAGUAGUGCAGAAGAAGGGUAGGUGGAACGUACCAUGUGUAGCGGUGGAAGUGCGUAGAUAUAUGGAAGAACAUCAGUGGCGAAGGCGGCUACCUGGUCUGCAACUGACGCUGAGACUCGAAAGCAUGGGUAGCGAACAGGAUUAGAUACCCCUGGUAG